rnacentral:rRNA from 1 species
CGGGGUGGUGAGAGCGGCGAACGGGUGAGUAACGCGUACGCAACCUACCUCCAAAUGGGGAAUAGCCCUGGGAAACUGGGAUUAAUACCCCAUAGUAUUCUGUCAUCACCUGGUGAUAGGAUUAAAGUUGAGGCGUUUGGAGAUGGGCGUGCGUCUGAUUAGCUAGUUGGUAGGGUAACGGCCUACCAAGGCGACGAUCAGUAGGGGGCGUGAGAGCGUGGCCCCCCACACGGGUACUGAGACACGGACCCG